UCCUCCGUGAGGAGGAAUCUGAAGGAAGCCGGCGGUAAAUCUCCGGCCUGACGAACAGGAGGCGGAUGAGGCAAUUAUCUGUGGGCGAGUUUGCAAAUCAAAACAAAGCCCUAAACUAUCCGAAACAGGUAGUUGUAUAUCUGACAGGUAUAUGGAGAGAAAGUUUGCGCA
rfam:Niastella vici strain DJ57 contig32, whole genome shotgun sequence.